ACUCCUACGGGAGGCAGCAGUGGGGAAUCUUCCACAAUGGACGCAAGUCUGAUGGAGCAACGCCGCGUGAGUGAAGAAGGUUUUCGGAUCGUAAAGCUUUGUUGUUGGUGAAGAAGGAUAGAGGUAGUAACUGGCCUUUAUUUGACGGUAAUCAACCAGAAAGUCAUGGCUAACUACGUGCCAGCAGCCGCGGUAAUAC
rnacentral:rRNA from 1 species